rnacentral:rRNA from 1 species
GACGAACGCUGGCGGCGUGCUUAACACAUGCAAGUCGAACGGAAAGGCCCUGCUUUUGUGGGGUGCUCGAGUGGCGAACGGGUGAGUAACACGUGAGUAACCUGCCCUUGACUUUGGGAUAACUUCAGGAAACUGGGGCUAAUACCGGAUAGGAGCUCCUGCUGCAUGGUGGGGGUUGGAAAGUUUCGGCGGUUGGGGAUGGACUCGCGGCUUAUCAGCUUGGUUGUGGGGUAGUGGCUUACAAAGGCGUUGACGGGGAGCCGGCCUGAGAGGGUGGACAGCCACAAUAGGACUGAGAGAGGGCCCAGACUCCAACGUUAGGCAGCAGUGGGGAAUAUUGCACAAUGGGCGGAAGCCUGAUGCAGAAACGCCGCGUGCGGGAUGACGGCCUUCGGGUUGUAAACCGCUUUCGCCUGUGACGAAGCGUGAGUGACGGUAACGGGUAAAGAAGCACCGGCUAACUACGUG